GGUCAUCCCUUGUUCAUUCGUCUUGCGUCCACCAUAAUUGUUCUCUAAACAAUUAAAACAUUCAUCAAUUUAGUAUUUUUAAUUUGACAAAAUCCUUCUCAAGAUUAUUUCUUACCUGGACAUCUAUAACGAUCAUCAUUGUCCAUGGCGCUGAUUGAUUGAAUACUACAAAACGGUACAAAACUGGCGCGGCUUUUUUGGUUGGAUUGAGAAUGAGACGUGUAUAUGCACAGCAGGAACGACCCAGCAGGUUGUAGAACAUGUUGCCAUGAAACUCAUCGUCGGAAUUUCAUUUUCUGUGGAAAAUGCAACUAUUGUGGAGAUUUUCUAGUUUUGAUUUGCAAAAAAUGACAAUCAGUUAAAGAAUUGUUCAAUUAGGAUAAUUACUCGUUUUCUUUUCUCCUGGCAUUUAUGCCUAUUAUUAUUUUUAUUAUUAUUAUUAUUUGCGCAUUAUUGAAUAAGAAGGUUUUGGUUCUGGUGUGGAACAUGUAAUCCAUUGUCAUCAAAGUUGUUUGUUGUAUAUUUUUUGACACACUG